CUGCCGUAUACUGGGGGAUAACACUUAGAAAUAGGUGCUAAUACCGCAUAAGCGCACAGCUUCGCAUGAAGUGGUGUGAAAAACUCUGGUGGUAUACGAUGGUUCCGCGUCUGAUUAGCUUGUUGGUGGGGUAAUGGCUCACCAAGGCGACGAUCAGUAGCCGGCCUGAGAGGGUGAACGGCCACAUUGGGACUGAGACACGGCCCAAACUCCUACGGGAGGCAGCAGUGGGGAAUAUUGCACAAUGGGGGAAACCCUGAUGCAGCGACGCCGCGUGAGUGAAGAAGUAUUUCGGUAUGUAAAGCUCUAUCAGCAGGGAAGAAAUAGCGACCUUUGGGUCGCCAGACGGUACCUGAUUAAGAAGCCCCGGCUAACUACGUGCCAGCAGCCGCGGUAAUACGUAGGGGGCAAGCGUUAUCCGGAUUUACUGGGUGUAAAGGGAGCGUAGACGGCAGCACAAGUCUGAAGUGAAAUGCCGGGGCUUAACCCCGGAACUGCUUUGGAAACUGUGCAGCUAGAGUGCAGGAGAGGUAAGUGGAAUUCCUAGUGUAGCGGUGAAAUGCGUAGAUAUUAGGAGGAACACCAGUGGCGAAGGCGGCUUACUGGACUGUAACUGACGUUGAGGCUCGAAAGCGUGGGGAGCAAACAGGAUUAGAUACCCUGGUAGUCCACGCUGUAAACGAUGA
rnacentral:rRNA from 1 species